GAUGAACGCUGGCGGCGUGCUUAACACAUGCAAGUCGAACGGAAAGGCCUCUGCUUGCAGGGGUACUCGAGCGGCGAACGGGUGAGUAACGCGUGGGUGAUCUGCCCUGCACUUCGGGAUAAGCCUGGGAAACUGGGUCUAAUACCGGAUAGGACCAUGGUUUGGAUGCUGUUGUGGAAAGUUUUUCGGUGUGGGAUGAGCACGCGGCCUCUUAGCUUGUUGGUGGGGUGUUGGUCUACAAAGGCGUCGACGGGUAGCCGGCCUGUGAGGGUGUACGGCGACAUAUGGGGAGUGAGACAGGGCAGAGUCCCACGGGAGGGAGCAGAGUGGAAUAUUGCACAAUAGGGGCAAGCGUGAUGUAGCGACGCGGCGCGUGGGAUGACGGCGUUCUGGUGGUAUACACCGUUCGCGAGUGACGAAGCGUGUUAGUGACGGUAACUGGAAAAGAAGCACCGGCUAACUACGUG
rnacentral:rRNA from 1 species